rfam:Rachicladosporium sp. CCFEE 5018 scaffold_2044, whole genome shotgun sequence.
GACCCACUAGUCAAGUGGUUAAGACAUGGCAUUUUCACUGCUACAUCCUGGGUUCGAACCCCAGGUGGGUUA